GCGGGGCCCGGGCAGGACCGCAGCGCGCCGCCGGGCAGCUUGGAAUUUCGGAGCAGCCUCGGACGGCGUUCCCCGCGGUGCAGUGUGAGUGCGCCCCUGCUCUGGGUGGGCCGUCCUCGUGCAGACGUGCUGUCCCGCGUCGAUCGGAAACCGCACGUCCUGCAGCUUUUUUGCUAAAUGUAGCCGCCGUGUGGGGAGCCCAUCGUUUCCCCCCAGCCCAGACCGCUUGUAUCUGCAGCGCACGCAGAAACAGGCCUGGUCUGCAGGCGCACCCCCCACCACCACACACACACCCUGCCCCGGCCGCCCCAAAUAAGAAAUUUCUGCAAAUUGUUAUCAUAAAAGACUGUUUUUUAGUGACCUCCAUCUCGGAGCCAGGAGCUAUCUCCCCGGAUCCUGAUAGGAACUCAGGCUCUUCACUGGCACCCCCGGCCGCCCUGGGGGGCUUGGCGCAGAGAAGCAUCAGGGCAGGCUUGCUAAAUGGACGGUGGUGAAUACUGGGCUUCAGGUCCCUGCAGGUGGUGGGAGGGCUUCCUUGCUGCCCUUGGGGGACAGGCACACUCCAGACCUCCCUUUUGCUAUCAAAGGAGGAGAGUCAAAUCUGAAGCCUUCUAGAGAAAGGCAGUCUGUUGUUGGGGAGCGAGCCUGGACUUGAGAAUGAGACAGAAAUGGGCUUGAAACCCCAGUUCAGCCACUUAUUUGCUGGUGAACUUCUUAGUUCAUUGAACCCUUGGCUUCCUCACUCUUGAGUUGCAAAACGGUCAUCAUCACAUCAAGUGAAUCUGGUGGACGGGCCACAUGCAGAUGCCUGCUCACUGUCACAGCCUCACUAAAUGACGGCAGAGGGGUAAAAGACUGCCAGUCCACGAGUACAAAAGGACAGGAAGGGAGGAAGCAGCGAGUGAAAGAUAAAGAGCAUUGAGGUGUCAUUCAUAGGUGGGGGCAGCCAAGGAUGUCCAUGCUCAGGAGGAGAGCCUGCCGUGUGAAAGAUGGACCAAACCAAGCAGACCCAGGGAGCCAAAGGAAGCCUUAGAACUGUAUUUGGAGCACCCGGCUGGCUCCUUCGGUGGAGCAUGUGACUCUUGGUCUUUGGGUGCAGGAGCCCCGCUCCAUCUCAGCGGGGGCCUCAUCAUCUCAUGGGCUUCACAGCCAUAAGCAAGCAGGACGGGUGUUUAAACUUCAGAUGCGGAGCAUAGCGUCCUGCAGGCUACUCUCUGUGACGCUGUGUUUGGAAAUGGAUCCAUGCUGGUACCUGUCGUUCUGCUUCCUGUCCCAGCAGCCCCAGACCCCAUACCACCUCGCUGCAAGUGAUCCUGCUGGGCCCCCCGCCAGGGGGCACCCGGACCCUCCCCUGAUGAACUGGGGUGGGGUGGGGUGGGAGCUCCAGGCAGCCCCCCACCCCCCGCCCCCACCCAGUACUCUUAGCAGGGAGGAUAUGCAGCGUCAGGGGACCCCAGAGGCCCGCAUCGUGCCGUGCUGCCCGCCCACUGCACACUCCAGGCGGCUCUCCAGGCCAAGGGCCCCCCGGAGGGAGGCUGCUUUCCACACAGCUCCGGGUCCCUGUGGUCCGCCAGGCGCCCUCCAGGUGCGCCCACAGCUGCCUCUCACCCCCUCCCGGACCAGUCCCUGUGCCAGUCACCUCUCCAUCAAAGCGUUUUUACCAACAGCUCAGGAGGCCGGGAAGCCUCUGACAGAAACAGCAGGAGAUGGUGGCCCAUCCAUUCUGGGGGCAGCUACUGUGUGCCAGGCCUGGCACUGAGACCCGCACCUGGAUUCAUGCUCACAGUAAGCUGAGGAGGGGCUCUCACCACCCCAGUCUGCAGGCGAAGAAACUGAGACAGGAGAGGUUGAGGUGCACGCGCCCCCCCCCCCCCGUUCCCACUACCGAGCACAGGGCGCAGGGCCUGGUUCACUUCUCCCCUGUUCCGCAGGGCCUUUGCAGGGAGGGCCGCAUUGCUUCUGAGUGCCCCCAGAGCUCCCCACAACCAACUUGGGUCCCUCCUGCCUUAGAGGUGCACCCUCUGUCCUCCCAGCGCCUCUGGCCCCUUGACAUGGAGGAAAGGCUGUUCCCUUCACUUCCAGAAUCUCGCUUUCCCUUUCGCUGAGGAGACUGGCAGAGAGCGACGGGCAGUUUCCAUGGAGAACUGCAGUUCUGGUCCCCACAGCGGUGCUGUCGGGCUGGGGGGCUCUAGGUCAGACCCCACUUGUCCCACUGCUUACCCAACAAGUGAUCUGAGCAAGUUCAUUUUCCUUGUGCCUUACUUCAUUGAUAAAGGAGGUCAGUACUGGUCCAUUUUGGGGUACCUUGAUCUCAGAGUUCUGAGUUCAAGAGUUCUGAGUUCACCCACAUUGGGUGUAGCAAUUACUUUAAAAGAUAAAAUCUUUUAAAUUUUUUAGAAGAUUUUA